rnacentral:rRNA from 1 species
AGUGAACGCUGGCGGUAGGCCUAACACAUGCAAGUCGAACGGCAGCACAGUAAGAGCUUGCUCUUACGGGUGGCGAGUGGCGGACGGGUGAGGAAUACAUCGGAAUCUACUUUUUCGUGGGGGAUAACGUAGGGAAACUUACGCUAAUACCGCAUACGACCUACGGGUGAAAGCAGGGGAUCUUCGGACCUUGCGCGAUUGAAUGAGCCGAUGUCGGAUUAGCUAGUUGGCGGGGUAAAGGCCCACCAAGGCGACGAUCCGUAGCUGGUCUGAGGGGAUGAUCAGCCACACUGGAACUGAGACACGGUCCAGACUCCUACGGGAGGCAGCAGUGGGGAAUAUUGGACAAUGGGCGCAAGCCUGAUCCAGCCAUACCGCGUGGGUGAAGAAGGCCUUCGGGUCGUAAAGCCCUUUUGUUGGGAAAGAAAAGCAGCAGGUUAAUACCCCGCUGUUCUGACGGUACCCAAAGAAUAAGCACCGGCUAACUUCGUG